CUCGCAGUAAAAGAAUGUGGCGUGAUCCGAACGUAGUGGGGGUCGCCUUCCAGAAAAAACGAAAAAAAUCGAAAGGCGUUCAGAACUUUUCGAGAAGUCGAACCGUCAACACAUGUGAAUGUACCACACCGGACAAUCAAGAAGGCAGGUGCCUUGACUACAGAAAAUGUAAACCUCUGCAAGAAAUAUGGCAGAUACAGUACCGUACAGCCACCGAUUUUUAUAGACGAUCAGUGUGCAGAUACCAGGUCAAUGUUACGAUCGUUUGCUGUCCGAACGAUCCAAACAAAGAGAAGAGAGAAAUUUUAAUAAAAACUGUGUAUAAGUAUAAGGCUUUGCGACCACCAUACUGUGGUUUUAGCAACGUCUCUCAUACCAGGGUGGUCGAUGGUAAACCAGCUGAACUUGGCGCUUGGCCAUGGAUCGCUGCAUUAGGUUUUCGUAAUCCCCGAAACCCAGACAAACCACUAUGGAAGUGCGGAGGUUCCCUGAUAUCGGCUAGGCAUGUUUUGACCGCAGCACAUUGUGCACAUAUGGAUGGAAUAGAAAACAUACACAAUCAUAAUAUUGCCAUUCUUAGAUAGGUGGAGGAGGUGCCAUUUUCGAGUAAGUCCUCAAAUAUAUAUAUAUAUAUGCUAUUGAGUAUUACUGAAGUAUCAUAUCCUGAAAUUUCUUACUGUACACAUAUAUUGUGUCAUAAAGCGUGUACAAUUCUUUCUCAUACUUUUGGUCAUUCGUUUCCUGCAUUUUCAUUUAUUUUUUUAUUUUUCAGGGUACGUAUAUCCCAUUUGUACGAAAGAGCAACUUCGUCGGCUAUAACCCCCUUGUUGCUGGAUGGGGAGCGUUAAGAUAUAGCAAGUGAUAUCAAUUUUAUAAUAAAAUUAAACAGUUCCAGUCUUAAAUAUCUUUCUCAUUUUCUUCGUAGGACGACCACGACCUAAUGCAUUAAUGGAAGUACAAAUGCCAGUGAUUAAGAACGCCGAAUGCAAAAUAGCUUAUUCCAAAUUUCCUAAUGCACCUGAUAUCACUGAUGGUAUAAUAUGCGCCGAACAUGCUCAGGGUGGAGAGGAUUCUUGUACGUAUCUUUGAUUAAAAAUUUAACGAUCCUUUCAGGCUGACCGUGGCGGACCACUGCUGAUACAACAUGAAUUAACCUCGUAUUUAAUAGGUAUUGUGUCUUAUGCUUAUAAGUGUGGCACAGCUGGGUAUCCCAGCGUUUACACUAGGGUCACAUCGUACCUUGACUUCAUUCUCCAAGCGAUGCAAUAAUAUGAUAUUACUGUUCCAUAAAUAUCAUUGUGUAAAAAACGUAAAGUUGGAUUUUCUUAUUGUGGAGAUAAGAAACAGCUCAAAUUUACAUUGUUUUGUACGUUACAAAUUAUAGGCUUAAAAUGUACGAAAUGUAACUUUGAAACGACACUAAUUUUUUACGCACGAUAAACCUCCACGACUUAGGUAUGUAAAGAUGAUAAACGUAUAUUAAUUCUAUUAAUUUGGUAAUAAUAAACCAACUUUCUGAGAAGUUCUGUAAAUUUCGUUUCUGUUGUAUCAAGAGAAUAAUGGAAUAUUCCACUUAGAUCGUAUACUUCUUGUAUGUACGUACAAAAUUUUCCGGCUAAUCUAAAACACUUCAUAAGAUAGAGAGCUUCUGGAAAUUCGGACACAGAGAGUGCAUAAAAUACAAGAUAAGUCUCGUGUCUUUCAAAAUUAUUUUUUAUUCGCUAAAAACGUCCUGUGUACUCAUGCAAUCACAUGCAACCUCGAAACUUCACUUAUUUUUUAUCACUUUCCAAUUCAAUACACAGUUUCUGCAUUUUUGACUAUAUGUAAG